rnacentral:rRNA from 1 species
AUUGAACGCUGGCGGCAGGCCUAACACAUGCAAGUCGAGCGGAUGAAGGGAGCUUGCUCCUGGAUUCAGCGGCGGACGGGUGAGUAAUGCCUAGGAAUCUGCCUGGUAGUGGGGGAUAACGUCCGGAAACGGGCGCUAAUACCGCAUACGUCCUGAGGGAGAAAGUGGGGGAUCUUCGGACCUCACGCUAUCAGAUGAGCCUAGGUCGGAGUAGCUAGUUGGUGGGGUAAAGGCCUACCAAGGCGACGAUCCGUAACUGGUCUGAGAGGAUGAUCAGUCACACUGGAGCUGAGACAGGGUCCAGACUACUACGGGAGGCAGCAGUGGGGAAUAUUAGGCAGUGGGCGAAAGCCUGAUCCAGCCAGGCCGCGUGUGUGAAGAAGGUCUUCGGAUUGGAAAGCACUUUAAGUUGGGAGGAAGGGCAGUAAGUUAAUACCUUGCUGUUUUGACGUUACCAACAGAAUAAGCACCGGCUAACUUCGUG